AUUGAACGCUGGCGGCAUGCCUUACACAUGCAAGUCGAACGGUAACAGGUUAAGCUGACGAGUGGCGAACGGGUGAGUAAUGUAUCGGAACGUGCCCAGUCGUGGGGGAUAACUGCUCGAAAGAGCAGCUAAUACCGCAUACGACCUGAGGGUGAAAGCGGGGGAUCGCAAGACCUCGCGCGAUUGGAGCGGCCGAUAUCAGAUUAGGUAGUUGGUGAGGUAAAGGCUCACCAAGCCGACGAUCUGUAGCUGGUCUGAGAGGACGACCAGCCACACUGGGACUGGGAAACGGCCCAGACCCCUAGGGGAGGCAGCAGGGGGGAAUUUUGGAAAAUGGGGGCAAGCCUGAUCCAGCCAUGCGGGGGGGGGGAAGAAGGCCUUGGGGUGGGAAACCGCUUUUGUAAGGGAAAAAAAGGUUCUGGUUAAUACCGGGGACCCAUGACGGUACCGGAAGAAUAAGCACCGGUUAACUACGU
rnacentral:rRNA from 1 species